UACGUAGGGGGCCAGCGUUGUCCGGAAUCAUUGGGCGUAAAGCGCACGUAGGCGGCCAGAUAAGUCCGGUGUGAAAGUCAAAGGCUCAACCUUUGAAUGCCGCUGGAAACUGUCUGGCUUGAGUCCGGGAGGGGCGAGUGGAAUUCCUGGUGUAGCGGUGAAAUGCGCAGAUAUCAGGAGGAACACCAAUGGCGAAGGCAGCUCGCUGGAACGGUACUGACGCUGAGGCGCGAAAGCGUGGGGAGCGAACAGG
rnacentral:rRNA from 1 species